rnacentral:rRNA from 1 species
GGCGCUAGCCUGAACCAGCCAAGUAGCGUGAGGAUGACUGCCCUAUGGGUUGUAAACUUCUUUUAUAUUAGAAUAAAGUGCAGUAUGUAUACUGUUUUGUAUGUAUAAUAUGAAUAAGGAUCGGCUAACUCCGUGCCAGCAGCCGCGGUAAUA